UCAUAGCUCAGUCAGUAGAGCAUGAGACUGUCAAUCUCAGAGUUGUGGGCUUGAGCCUCACAUUAGGCAAAA